rnacentral:rRNA from 1 species
CCUAACACAUGCAAGUCGAACGGUAACAGGAAGAAGCUUGCUUCUUUGCUGACGAGUGGCGGACGGGUGAGUAAUGUCUGGGAAACUGCCUGAUGGAGGGGGAUAACUACUGGAAACGGUAGCUAAUACCGCAUAACGUCGCAAGACCAAAGAGGGGGACCUUCGGGCCUCUUGCCAUCGGAUGUGCCCAGAUGGGAUUAGCUAGUAGGUGGGGUAACGGCUCACCUAGGCGACGAUCCCUAGCUGGUCUGAGAGGAUGACCAGCCACACUGGAACUGAGACACGGUCCAGACUCCUACGGGAGGCAGCAGUGGGGAAUAUUGCACAAUGGGCGCAAGCCUGAUGCAGCCAUGCCGCGUGUAUGAAGAAGGCCUUCGGGUUGUAAAGUACUUUCAGCGGGGAGGAAGGGAGUAAAGUUAAUACCUUUGCUCAUUGACGUUACCCGCAGAAGAAGCACCGGCUAACUCCGUGCCAGCAGCCGCGGUAAUACGGAGGGUGCAAGCGUUAAUCGGAAUUACUGGGCGUAAAGCGCACGCAGGCGGUUUGUUAAGUCAGAUGUGAAAUCCCCGGGCUCAACCUGGGAACUGCAUCUGAUACCGGCAAGCUUGAGUCUCGUAGAGGGGGGUAGAAUUCCAGGUGUAGCGGUGAAAUGCGUAGAGAUCUGGAGGAAUACCGGUGGCGAAGGCGGCCCCCUGGACGAAGACUGACGCUCAGGUGCGAAAGCGU